rnacentral:rRNA from 1 species
UACGUAGGUGGCAAGCGUUGUCCGGAUUUAUUGGGUUUAAAGGGUGCGUAGGCGGCUUUGUAAGUCAGUGGUGAAAUAUGGCAGCUUAACUGUCAAGGUGCCAUUGAUACUGCGGAGCUUGAGUACAGAUGAGGUAGGCGGAAUUGACGGUGUAGCGGUGAAAUGCUUAGAUAUCGAUCAAGAACACCUAUAGCGAAGGCAGCUUACUAGGCUGUAACUGACGCUGAGGCACGAAAAGUGUGGGGAUCAAACAGG